UGGGGUGUAGCUCAGUGGUAGUGCAUUCGACUGCAGAUCGAGAGGUACCCGUUUCAAAUUUCCUCAA